CACUAAAAGACCGUUGGAGCUCGAGUGAAUUACUAGAGACGCUCAAACCCCAAGGUUCACCUGCCUGUUGGAAAUGAUGCUCCCCUUCUUCUUGCUAAUUCUCCUGAGUCUCCCAUGGGUGGAUACUACUGUCAACAAUACCAGUGGGUUCGGCAACAGUACUAGUGACUUGGAAGAUCCAAACAAAGCUAGAUGGGUUGCUCAUUUGACGUGCAAACGGUGCACAGUCACUAACAGCUUCUCGUGUUCACCUACUCGUGAAUGUCCGGUAAAUAUCAGACGCUGCCUAACAAUCGCUAUACACUCCUACUGAAUUAUUCAAUGAUGUGCCGAGACUCAGCCAUCUCCCUAUGCUUUUCCCAAUGAAAAGACCAACUGGAGAUCAUCUUCAGCUGUCUACAGUAGAUGAGUAUUUAGUGUCCAGUGGUCUUAUGGAGAAGCUGGCCACUGGAUGUGCUGUUUUCCUGAGGUUGGCCUUAGAAGCAAAUGCAGAAGAAAUGAAUGGGUGAUUCCAGGGAAAGGAAAUGGACCACAUGGAUGGGUGCUGCUAUUGAGACUGGGCAUGCAGUACAUGUGGGUCCAGGUAGUAAGACCUAUAAAUUGGACAAUCCAGGAGGCCACUAUAUUCAUUACUUUUUUUUACCGUUAUAAAACACCAUGUCCAAAGCAACUUAUAUAAGAGUUUUCUUUUGGUCGUACAGUUCUAGAGGGUUAGGAUUCAUGAUGGUGGAGUGGAGGCAGCAGGUGACAUGUCUGGAGCAGCAGCUGUGAGCUCACAUCUUGAACUACAAACAGAAAGCAAGAAUCACAUUGAGGGAGGCAAUGAAGCUUUUGAAGUCUUAAACCCAGCCCCAGUGACAGACCUCCACUAAAAAGGUUACGUCAUCUAAUCCUUCCCAAACAGUACCACCAACUGGGAACCAAGUAUUCAAAUGCAAGAGACUGUUGGAAGACAUCUCAUUCAAACCACCACACAUGAUGUUUCAACUUGCCCAACUUAGCUUGGUGACCUAAGACACAGUGUCACUUAUUCUUUUGUGGAGUGAAAAGCCCGUAGCUGGAAGAACUUUGGAGUUCAUUGGAAGGACCAUCAUGAGGAGGAGCUCCACCACCCAUAGAGCUACAACAUCCCCUUUUCUGACUCCUCUAGAAUGGGCCUGCUGGAUGGGAGGAUGGCAAGAAACCUCCACAUUUGCUUCUGUGAUUAAAAAGCACAUGACUCUUCUAGGACAACGCCUCAGUGUCAGGCUACAGACAGGGCUCAGAGAUGGGGCGUCUCAGGAACAAAGUACCUGUUUUCUCCUGCUAUCUGCUCUUGGUGGCUUUGUGGGCUGGGCUCAGUCCAACUUUACUCUAGGAAGGUGAUCUUUCCUUAGGGACCUGGGGACCAAAGCAAGUCCAAGCCAAGUCUGGUGCAGGUACUCUGUACUUGUUCCUCUGGCUGCCUUUCUUCUCUUAUGGUGUCCAACUGUUGGUAAGAGUUUUACCAUGAUUAAUGGGAAGAAACCAGGUUGCUUCCAUCUAUCCAUGAUAAAUUAAUAGUAAAAAGUAGACAGCAAGAUAGAUAGAUAGAUAGAUAGAUAGAUAGAUAGAUAGAUAGAUAGAUAGAUAGAUAGAUAUGGGGUGGUUAAUAUGGCCACAUUGGGCAGAGGGAUAAUGAGAUUCGUUAACCUAGUCUAAUAAACCUUCAAGGUCCUGAAGUUAAGGUUCACGUGGAGGCCUGCGUUAUGCUUCUCUAAGCAGUCCCAGUCAAGGUAUAGCUCUGUCCAUCACUGUCUGGGCCCCAAUAUCUCCACUAAGGCAGUCUGACAAGUUGUUGGCACUGUGGGAAAUCUCUUUUCUUGUAGGCAAAUUCCUCCUUUGUUUUUUACCGGGCUUUAGAAUUUUCUUGCUUUCCCAGCAUGAGAUUGCUGGUGGGCAUUCCAGUUGUUCAGGAGUCAGCUGAUUCAAGGGUCUGUUAAUCAAAAGGAGAGACACAGGAAUUUCUUCAAACUAGCUUUGUUCCUGUCAGGUAGGUUACCAGGGCAAGAAGAAGUUCAGUAAGCCACUCAUGCUAGAGUGCGUCACAGGCUGUCUUCUAGGUCACGAGCAAACAGUCAAUACAGAUCAUCCUUUUGAUGUGGGGACACCCCAGUCCAGUUAGCUUGAAGCAGCUUAGAAUCUCCAUGCCUAGGGAUGUGCUCUUUGUGAUCUGGGAAGUGAGGACAACUGAAGGCUAAAUGAAAGCAAGAGCAAGGGAAGCUUCAAAUCCUGAUGUCUAUUACCUGCCUGACAAUGGCCCUCGAAAGCACAUGACUGUUACUGACACACAAGAAUCAAAUUAAAUGGCCUAGAUGACCUACAAGUAGCAUCAACUACUCCUGCAUCUUUUGACCUGUCUACUCAGGGAGGUGACAAAAA